UAACCGGCGAUACCCGAAUGGGGAAACCCAGUGUGAUUCGUCACACUAUCAUUAACUGAAUCCAUAGGUUAAUGAGGCGAACCGGGGGAACUGAAACAUCUAAGUACCCCGAGGAAAAGAAAUCAACCGAGAUUCCCCCAGUAGCGGCGAGCGAACGGGGAGGAGCCCAGAGCCUGAAUCAGCAUGUGUGUUAGUGGAAGCGUCUGGAAAGGCGCGCGAUACAGGGUGACAGCCCCGUACACAAAAGCGCAUGUGCUGUGAGCUCGAUGAGUAGGGCGGGACACGUGGUAUCCUGUCUGAAUAUGGGGGGACCAUCCUCCAAGGCUAAAUACUCCUGACUGACCGAUAGUGAACCAGUACCGUGAGGGAAAGGCGAAAAGAACCCCGGCGAGGGGAGUGAAAAAGAACCUGAAACCGUGUACGUACAAGCAGUGGGAGCACCCUUUGGGUGUGACUGCGUACCUUUUGUAUAAUGGGUCAGCGACUUAUAUUCUGUAGCAAGGUUAACCGAAUAGGGGAGCCGGAGGGAAACCGAGUCUUAACCGGGCGUUAAGUUGCAGGGUAUAGACCCGAAACCCGGUGAUCUAGCCAUGGGCAGGUUGAAGGUUGGGUAACACUAACUGGAGGACCGAACCGACUAAUGUUGAAAAAUUAGCGGAUGACCUGUGGCUGGGGGUGAAAGGCCAAUCAAACCGGGAGAUAGCUGGUUCUCCCCGAAAGCUAUUUAGGUAGCGCCUCGUGAAUUCAUCUCCGGGGGUAGAGCACUGUUUCGGCUAGGGGGCCAUCCCGGCUUACCAACCCGAUGCAAACUGCGAAUACCGGAGAAUGUUAUCACGGGAGACACACGGCGGGUGCUAACGUCCGUCGUGAAGAGGGAAACAACCCAGACCGCCAGCUAAGGUCCCAAAGUCAUGGUUAAGUGGGAAACGAUGUGGGAAGGCCCAGACAGCCAGGAUGUUGGCUUAGAAGCAGCCAUCAUUUAAAGAAAGCGUAAUAGCUCACUGGUCGAGUCGGCCUGCGCGGAAGAUGUAACGGGGCUAAACCAUGCACCGAAGCUGCGGCAGCGACACUGUGUGUUGUUGGGUAGGGGAGCGUUCUGUAAGCCUGCGAAGGUGGCCUGUGAGGGUUGCUGGAGGUAUCAGAAGUGCGAAUGCUGACAUAAGUAACGAUAAAGCGGGUGAAAAGCCCGCUCGCCGGAAGACCAAGGGUUCCUGUCCAACGUUAAUCGGGGCAGGGUGAGUCGACCCCUAAGGCGAGGCCGAAAGGCGUAGUCGAUGGGAAACGGGUUAAUAUUCCCGUACUUGGUGUUACUGCGAAGGGGGGACGGAGAAGGCUAUGUUGGCCGGGCGACGGUUGUCCCGGUUUAAGCGUGUAGGUGUGUGUUCCAGGUAAAUCCGGUUCACUUUAACACUGAGGCGUGACGACGAGGCACUACGGUGCUGAAGCAACAAAUGCCCUGCUUCCAGGAAAAGCCUCUAAGCAUCAGGUAACAUCAAAUCGUACCCCAAACCGACACAGGUGGUCAGGUAGAGAAUACCAAGGCGCUUGAGAGAACUCGGGUGAAGGAACUAGGCAAAAUGGUGCCGUAACUUCGGGAGAAGGCACGCUGACACGUAGGUGAAGUGAUUUACUCAUGGAGCUGAAGUCAGUCGAAGAUACCAGCUGGCUGCAACUGUUUAUUAAAAACACAGCACUGUGCAAACACGAAAGUGGACGUAUACGGUGUGACGCCUGCCCGGUGCCGGAAGGUUAAUUGAUGGGGUCAGCGCAAGCGAAGCUCCUGAUCGAAGCCCCGGUAAACGGCGGCCGUAACUAUAACGGUCCUAAGGUAGCGAAAUUCCUUGUCGGGUAAGUUCCGACCUGCACGAAUGGCGUAAUGAUGGCCAGGCUGUCUCCACCCGAGACUCAGUGAAAUUGAACUCGCUGUGAAGAUGCAGUGUACCCGCGGCAAGACGGAAAGACCCCGUGAACCUUUACUAUAGCUUGACACUGAACAUUGAGCCUUGAUGUGUAGGAUAGGUGGGAGGCUUUGAAGUGUGGACGCCAGUCUGCAUGGAGCCGACCUUGAAAUACCACCCUUUAAUGUUUGAUGUUCUAACGUGGACCCGUUACCCGGGUUGCGGACAGUGUCUGGUGGGUAGUUUGACUGGGGCGGUCUCCUCCUAAAGAGUAACGGAGGAGCACGAAGGUUGGCUAAUCCUGGUCGGACAUCAGGAGGUUAGUGCAAUGGCAUAAGCCAGCUUGACUGCGAGCGUGACGGCGCGAGCAGGUGCGAAAGCAGGUCAUAGUGAUCCGGUGGUUCUGAAUGGAAGGGCCAUCGCUCAACGGAUAAAAGGUACUCCGGGGAUAACAGGCUGAUACCGCCCAAGAGUUCAUAUCGACGGCGGUGUUUGGCACCUCGAUGUCGGCUCAUCACAUCCUGGGGCUGAAGUAGGUCCCAAGGGUAUGGCUGUUCGCCAUUUAAAGUGGUACGCGAGCUGGGUUUAGAACGUCGUGAGACAGUUCGGUCCCUAUCUGCCGUGGGCGCUGGAGAACUGAGGGGGGCUGCUCCUAGUACGAGAGGACCGGAGUGGACGCAUCACUGGUGUUCGGGUUGUCAUGCCAAUGGCACUGCCCGGUAGCUAAAUGCGGAAGAGAUAAGUGCUGAAAGCAUCUAAGCACGAAACUUGCCCCGAG
rnacentral:rRNA from 1 species